rnacentral:rRNA from 1 species
GACGUAGGGGACGAGCGUUAUCCGGAUUCACUGGGUUUAAAGGGUGCGUAGGCGGGCUUGUAAGUCAGUGGUGAAAGCCCGGAGCUUAACUCCGGAAUUGCCGUUGAUACUGCAAGUCUUGAGUACAGUUGAGGUGGGCGGAAUACAUCAUGUAGUAGUGAAAUACUUAGAUAUGAUGUAGAACACCGAUUGCGAAGGCAGCUCACUAAAGUGUAACUGACGCUGAGGCACGAAAGCGUGGGGAUCAAACAGG